rnacentral:rRNA from 1 species
AGCGAACGCUGGCGGCGUGCCUAACACAUGCAAGUCGAACGUGAAAAGGGAAACCUGAGUACAGUGGCGUACGGGUGAGUCACGCGUAGGUAAUCUACCCCAGAAUCUGGAAUAACCUGCCGAAAGGCGGGCUAAUACUGGAUAGAGCGAGGGAACUCGUAAGAGAGUUUUUCGGGAAAGGGAGCCCGCAAGGGCCUUCGUUCUGGGAUGAGCCUGCGUCUCAUUAGCUAGUUGGUAAGGUAACGGCUUACCAAGGCGAUGAUGAGUAGCUGGUCUGAGAGGAUGAUCAGCCACACUGGAACUGAAACACGGUCCAGACUCCUACGGGAGGCAGCAGUGGGGAAUCUUGCGCAAUGGACGAAAGUCUGACGCAGCCACGCCGCGUGAGGGAAGAAGGCCUUCGGGUUGUAAAGCUCUGUCGGAUGGGACGAACAUCUUCAUAGUGAAUAGCUAUGAGGACUGACGGUACCAUCAAAGGAAGCACCGGCUAACUCCGUG